rnacentral:lncRNA from 13 species
CCACGGGGUGCUCCCUUGAUUUGAUUCUCUACCCCUUCUUCUAGGGAUGGGGCUUCCUGAGAGCCGAUCUGAAGUGAUUUUUACUUCUCUUCUGGAAUUUAGCAGAUCUACCAGGCUCCACACUGAUACUGGGCAGUGUCUGCAGAGUUCUGUGAUUUGAUCCAUCUUCAGGUUUCUCAGCCAUGGAUACCAGCUUCUGCUCUGGUAGAAGUAAGCAAAGGAGUGAAACAGAUUCCGUGAGGGUCCUUGGUUUAUUUUUGCUAAGUGUGCUGGUUUUGUGUCAGUUAGUCUCCAGCCGGGAUGUGGCACUUUCAAGAGUGCAUCAACUGCAGUAGUAUAGAUAGGAUACAAGCUUGCCCUAGGGCCAGGCAUUGGGUGAGGUCAUAGAGCUCUCAAGACAUUAUGUCCUUGGUCUUCAACUACCAGGGUGGAUAGAGAAGAACUGUCAGGUAGGCACAGGGUUAAGGGUGUCUGAGAUCAGACUCUUUUUGGGUGGGGCUUGCUGCAGCAGCUGUGGUGUAUGGGGGUGUGGUUCUCAGGCCAAUGCAGUUCUGUUUCCAGAGGUAUUAUGGCUGCCUCUGCUGCAUCACAGAGGUCACCAAGGAAGUGGGAGAAAGCCAUCAGCCACAUGCUUCACCCAACUCUCACACAGCCUGCAGCCCGAAAGACUGGUCUUACUCCACCAUGCUCCCCCAAUGACACCAAGUUUAUUUCCAGGCAGCAGAUGAGCAAGGCUGAGAACGUGCCCCAGAGUACAAGUCUUACAACUAAGAAGAUACAUCGACUCACAGUUCCUUGGCUGUCCCAUGGAGCCAGCAGCAGCAAUCCCCCUCCUUCAAAGGAUAUAUGGAGUAUCUCAGCUUUCCUGAACCCCCAGAUGGGACCAUCUAGCUGCAGGAAAACAAGGUCAGGGCUCCCACAGAUUCUGCACUAUGUUUGCUGAGAAUGAUGUUCUCCAGAUUCAUCCAUGUCCCUACAAAUGACACGAACUCAUAUUGAAUGGCUGAGUGUGACCAAUGCUAGAUGCACCAUUGAGG